rnacentral:rRNA from 1 species
UACGGAGGGGGUUAGCGUUGUUCGGAAUGACUGGGCGUAAAGCGCGCGUAGGCGGAUCGUCAAGUCGGGGGUGAAAUCCCGGGGCUCAACCCCGGAAUGGCCUUCGAGACUGUCGGUCUUGAGUUCGAGAGAGGUGAGUGGAAUUCCGAGUGUAGAGGUGAAAUUCGUAGAUAUUCGGAGGAACACCAGUGGCGAAGGCGGCUCACUGGCUCGACACUGACGCUGAGGUGCGAAAGCGUGGGGAGCAAACAGG